UACGGAGGAUGCGAGCGUUAUCCGGAUUUAUUGGGUUUAAAGGGUGCGUAGGCGGCAUUAUAAGUUAGUGGUAAAAUAUUGGGGCUUCACCUCACUACGCCAUUAAUACUGUAGAGCUAGAGAACAGACGAGGUAGGCGGAAUGCGUGGUGUAGCGGUGAAAUGCAUAGAUAUCACGCAGAACUCCGAUUGCGAAGGCAGCUUACUAAGCCAUAACUGACACUGAAGCACGAAAGCGUGGGUAUCAAACAGG
rnacentral:rRNA from 1 species